GCGUAAUUGGUUUAGUGGUAAAAUUCUCCGUUGCCAUUCGAGCAACGUUCGGGGAGCCCUGGGUUCGAUUCCCAGAUUACGCA